UCCAGACUCCUACGGGAGGCAGCAGUGGGGGAUAUUGCACAAUGGGGGGAACCCUGAUGCAGCGACGCCGCGUGGGUGAAGGAGCGUUUCGGCGCGUAAAGCCCUAUCGGCAGGGAAGAAGGAGGACGGUACCUGACUAAGAAGCCCCGGCUAACUACGUGCCAGCAGCCGCGGUAAUACGUAGGGGGCAAGCGUUAUCCGGAUUUACUGGGUGUAAAGGGGGCGCAGCGGGCAGCGCAAGCCAGGAGUGAAAGCCCGGGGCCCAACCCCGGGACUGCUCUUGGAACUGCGCGGCUGGAGUGCAGGAGGGGCAGGCGGAAUUCCUGGUGUAGCGGUGAAAUGCGUAGAUAUCAGGAGGAACACCGGUGGCGAAGGCGGCCUGCUGGACUGCGACUGACGUUGAGGCCCGAAAGCGUGGGGAGCAAACAGGAUUAGAUACCCGAGUAA
rnacentral:rRNA from 1 species